rnacentral:misc_RNA from 1 species
GCUCCGUUGGUGAACCAGCGGAGGGGUCAUUACUGAGUUACCGCUCUACAACCCUUUGUGAACAUACCUAACUGUUGCUUCGGCGGGCAGAGGUCCCUCGCGGAUCUCUCCCGGCAACGCCCUCACGGGCGGAGCGCCCGCCGGAGGAUACCAAACUCUAUUUUAACGACGUUUCUUCUGAGUGGCACAAGCAAAUAAUUAAAACUUUUAACAACGGAUCUCUUGGUUCUG